rnacentral:rRNA from 1 species
AUGCACAGAAGGACGCACUCGCGCACACCCAGGAGACCAGCACACAACACACACCAGCACACGUGUACACCGGCGUCGCCGCCGGUUGAGAUGGACGGCGAGGCAGCCAACAAGCGAAGGCGGCUCGAGCCAAAACCGCAUCCGGCGAGCCUGGACUUCAUCAGCAGCCUCCCCGAUGACAUGCUGCUUGUCAUCAUCAACCUCCUCCCCACAAAAUCUGUUGUGCAGACCACCCUGCUCUCCCGGCGGUGGCACCCCCUCUGGUGCCUCGUCCCCCUCAACCUCACCGUCGAUAGCUGCCUCUGCGAUGGGGAUUGCAAACACAUGGACGCAGUCUCCAAGAUCCUUUCAUCGCACCCUAGGCCAGCCAGAUGCCUUGACAUCUGCAUGUUCAGUACCAACUGCAAGGUCCAAGCCAAGUUCGAUGAGUGGUUCUUAUCCCCCACCCUAGAUCAGCUCGAGGAGCUCAGCUUUGAAGCUGGACGAUGUCGCUAUCUGCCGUCGUCCGCGCUCCGCCUCAUGCCAACUCUGCGCCAGCUUCAGCUCCGGCAAAGUUGA